UACGUAGGUGGCAAGCGUUGUCCGGAUUUAUUGGGCGUAAAGCGAGUGCAGGCGGUUCAAUAAGUCUGAUGUGAAAGCCUUCGGCUCAACCGGAGAAUUGCAUCAGAAACUGUUGAACUUGAGUGCAGAAGAGGAGAGUGGAACUCCAUGUGUAGCGGUGGAAUGCGUAGAUAUAUGGAAGAACUCCGAUUGCGAAGGCAGCCUGCUGGACUGUAACUGACGCUGAUGCUCGAAAGUGUGGGUAUCAAACAGG
rnacentral:rRNA from 1 species